rnacentral:rRNA from 1 species
AAAGACUUAUAUUGAAGACAAUGAAACACCCGAACCCAUUUCGACCUCGACUGUGAAACUUUUCUUCGCCGUAUGUAUUACUUCAAAGUGAGAGACACGGUUAAGUCUAU